rnacentral:snoRNA from 1 species
GUUCUACGAUGAAAUUUCCCUCGUAUUCGCAGUUUCCACGCAAGCCGUCGCAAGAGCCUUUUGACGUGCGAUGAGCGUAUAAUACUUCCUUGGAUGUCUGAGAAC